rnacentral:rRNA from 1 species
UGCUCUUUGUUUAAUUUUUAUAAAGAGUCGAGCCUGCCCAGUGAAAAUUUCAACGGCCGCGGUACUCUGACCGUGCAAAGGUAGCAUAAUCAUUUGCCUUAUAAUUGAAGGCUAGUAUGAAUGGUUUGACGAAAGCAAAUCUGUCUCCUCUUUACUACUUAGAACUUGACCUUUAGGUGAAGAGGCCUAAAUAUCAUUGAAGGACAAGAAGACCCUGUCGAGCUUAAAAGAACAUGUAGAAGUUAAUAUAGUUAAAAAUAAAUAAUCUACUAAGCUUUUUAGUUGGGGCGACUAAGGAACAAAAAAAGCUUCUUAAUUAAAAAAAACCAACAAGUUUAGAUCCAACCAGCUUGAUCAAAGAAAUUAGUUACCGCAGGGAUAACAGCAUAAUCUCUCUUGAGAGACCUAAUCGAAAGGGGGGGUUGUGACCUCGAUGUUGGACUAGAAUAUCCUAAAGAUGCAGAAGUCUUUAAGGGUUGGUCUGUUCGACCAUAAAAAUUCU